rnacentral:rRNA from 1 species
AUGGCGGCGGCGCCGGCGGCGGGAGGGCAGGGAGGCGGCAUGGACGCCGCGCUCCUCGACGACAUCAUCCGCCGUCUGCUCGAGGUGCGGACGGCGCGCCCCGGCAAGCAGGUGCAGCUCUCCGAGUCGGAGAUCCGCCAGCUCUGCACCGCCUCCCGCGACAUCUUCCUCACCCAGCCCAACCUCCUCGAGCUCGAGGCGCCCAUCAAGAUCUGCGGUGAUAUCCAUGGUCAGUACAGUGAUCUUUUAAGGCUAUUUGAGUAUGGAGGUUUUCCCCCGGAAGCCAACUAUCUAUUCUUAGGCGAUUAUGUUGAUCGAGGCAAACAGAGUCUGGAGACUAUAUGCCUCCUCCUUGCAUACAAAAUCAAGUACCCUGAGAACUUUUUUCUCCUGAGAGGCAACCAUGAGUGUGCUUCAAUAAACAGAAUAUAUGGAUUUUAUGAUGAAUGCAAGCGUCGCUUCAAUGUGCGGCUAUGGAAGGUCUUCACCGACUGUUUUAACUGUCUCCCUGUGGCCGCUCUAAUUGAUGAUAAAAUAUUAUGCAUGCAUGGUGGCCUUUCUCCUGAUCUGGGACACCUAGAUGAGAUAAAAAACUUGCCCCGUCCUACCGAUGUGCCAGAUACAGGUCUACUAUGCGAUCUUCUUUGGUCUGAUCCAGGAAAAGAUGUCCAAGGGUGGGGCAUGAAUGAUAGGGGCGUUUCAUUCACAUUUGGUCAUGACAAAGUUACGGAGUUCCUUCUAAAGCAUGAUCUUGAUCUUAUUUGCCGUGCCCACCAGGUUGUCGAGGAUGGGUAUGAAUUCUUUGCUGACAGACAGCUGGUCACCAUAUUUUCGGCUCCCAACUAUUGUGGUGAAUUUGAUAAUGCUGGAGCAAUGAUGAGUGUUGAUGAAACUUUGAUGUGUUCAUUUCAAAUUCUCAAACCUGCCGAGAGAAAAAUCAAAUUUAUGGCGUCAAACAAAAUGUGA